UAGAGUUGGGGUCUCAGAAGGCAGAACUCUUGGGGCAUCUCCACCAUGGCCUGGACUCUGCUCCUCCUCACCCUCCUCACUCAGGGCACAGCUGA
rnacentral:pre_miRNA from 1 species